rnacentral:lncRNA from 1 species
UUUUUUUUUUUUUUUUUUGUCUAGAAUAAUGUGUAGCAUGUAGUGGCAAAAGACAAGGAUGUUAGUUUAAGGAAGGUGAUGCUAAUUCCAUUUUUUUUCAUGGGGCGAUGGCCAGCUGGAAGAGAAUUAAUUUCCUAAACUGUAUCAAUGUUAGUGGGAUCAGGAUUUGCUGCUGUAGCAAAUUCACACAGUUUGCCGCAGUAGCAAAUCUCAGCCAUCAAUCCAUGAUCUGACGGUUCCAAUUUACAGCACAAAUUUCAACAAUUUCAUACAAUGUCAAAUCUUAACCGUUCACUUCAGAUCAGACGGUAUAGAACAGCUACGGCGUGCAACUGCGUGUAAAUAUUACAGCAGGAAAUCCCAUCCCGUAGUGGUACUUUGGUGGUAGGUGUGUAUGAUGAUGUCUAUCUGAAAAAAAUCACAUAAUUUCGUGAGGCCUAUGGUGGAGUUUUUUUUUCUUUUCUUUUCGCAAUUUGUUGAUUAUACCUUAAUCUUUGGUGAGAAUUUUGAACAAACGUUAGAACUAGGCGUUUAUGAUCCCUUUUAGAUCUCAUCUUAGAGUUAAAGGUUGAUUUUCAUAAGAGUUUACUGAUUGGAAUUAAUGCAGCUGAGGAUUGGUUGAUAGAGGCUUUUGUUGUGUUAAAUUGUUAAAUUUGGGCAUAGUAAAAUAGUUCAAUUCAUCAUGGUUUAUUUAUAAAUCAAAUACUGAUAAUUUUUUUUAGGGGAACAAAUAUUGAUCAAUUAAUUGACCAUAUAUGUUGAAUUUAAAUAUGCAAAAGAUCCUUGCAAUUAUGGCCCCUUUGUUUUUUAUUUUUUAUAUUUUUUUUUAUCAAAGGGUCACUUUGUUUUAUUCCCAAUAAAAAGUUUUUUUUUUUCAACUUGACUAUGCAAUUCCAAAAAACACCUAUUAAGUUGGUCUCUCGAUUAAUUUUUGUUUGAAAAUAUUUGAUGUGGCUAAUUUUUUGUGAUUUGGCAGGCCACAUAAUUUUUCGAGUCAACAUUUUAAUUUUUUUUGCCUAAAUGUUCUUUUUGUUUUCCUAUUUAAAAAAAAAAAAUCCUAGUCCUACUAUUUUAAAAACCGGGUUUUUUGUCAGCCAAUUUCACUUUUUUCUCCAAAAUUCCAUCUUUCAUCUUUUUUUUUUUUUUUGGUACAAACCAUCUUUCAUCUUAUUCUUGGAUAUUUUUACAGAUAGUUUUUGGACAUUGUUUAUUAGACAUUUUUUGGGCACAUGAAUAUUAAUGUGACCAUAUAAGCUCGACCGCGUCAAUAAGGAAUAAAUAACAUCAACAAAAAUGACCUUAAAAUGAGAUAGGGUGGAAAAUUCAGAAAAAUAUAAAAUUGGAGACACAAAAAAAUCAUUUUUUAAAUUGGGAACCAAACCUCCAUUUAAAAAAAAAAUAGAGGAACCAAAAAGUAAAACAGAUGAAAUGAAUCAAAUUAUAUAUUAUUAGACAAUAUUUGUAUUUUGUAGGGUGUCGUAUAUAUUUCCUUGGCAAAAAAAAUGAAAAACAAAUUAUUUAUAUAUGCAUUUGCUACUACAAUUGGAAAUAAACCAGCUCCUUAUUGAAACCUUAAAUUUAUAACUUGGAGCAUAUAUUCAAGUUCAAUUCCAUGACACUUUCUAUCCAAUUAUCGGAACCUGAUAGACAAUUCCAUCUUUAUCAACCCAAACCCUAACCCUGUCACAGCGGAAGUCGGCGGUGACAAAAGAUCCUUCUGGCACAAUGAUGGCAUUCACCAAUGGAUUCUCACUCUGAAUUGUAGCUUCUGCUACCUUUCCUUCCACUCCAACCAACUCUGGCCAUGAGUUCUUACCUGAGAACACAAUAUUGAUUAAUUCAACCAUCAAAUUAUAAUUAAUAUUUCACAAACCGUUUAAUUUAAACAUAUUAUAUUAGGCUUAUAACACCUUACCUUUGCAUUCAUCAGACAUUUUUUUCUGUGCCUUUUUCUUUCCUUUUGCAAUUCUUGUAUUUGUGAUAUAUAAUGCAUUGCAAUGAAUACUGUAUUUAUAGUAGUUUUUGGUAGCAACCUUAUGCGUAUUUUUAUUACAGAAAUCUCAUAAAUUGUUGAACGGUCCAUGAUUUGACUUGUGUGUUAUAUUGUCCAAAUUUGUAGGGAUAAGAUUUUGUCAAAUUUUACGAUAUCACGCAAUAGUGUUCUUAUUUCAGAAGCAUACAUGUUAAUUUUUUUAGUUAACAAAAUGGUUAUAGAAUUGGCCUUGACAAUUUGUUCAUAAGGUGUUUGUGCAGGUUUUUUGGAUUUAAUAUGUGUUCACAAAUACGUCGAUAAAGAUAAGGAUUGAUUAUAAAUAUAUACAGGAAAAGAUAAGAAUUCGAUUGAACUUGAAGCAUAUUAUAUUACGAGAACAUAAGUAAACAAGUUGAAAACAAAUAUUUUGCAUGACUGUUCAAAGGAAUUAUGUUAUUAUCAUUAUCUACACGGAACUUGGUUUUGAUGUUCAAAGCGUUGAGAGUUGAGACACAAAUGACAUAUACAAACUAGAAAAUUGCUCUUCUCUUAUCCAAAAUUGUUCACUCUCAUACCAAUUGACGAAAAUACUCCACAUAGACGUUAUACGAGCGUGAUUAAGUCACGUUCUCAAUUUAAUGUGAGUUAACUCAUAUAAGUUGUAGUAGCGGUGAAGGAUUUAGUAUGAGAAUUUUAAGAAUCGAAUAUUACAUGUUUCAAUUUGGAACUUGAUGAUGUACUUUGCAAUAUUUUGGGAGGAAAAUACUAUUCAUAGCGAAUAGUUUGUCCCAAAUUUGUCCCGAGAGAAGCUGAUAUGUCUUGGUUUGACCGUGUAUUCCGCAAAGCAACAACUUUGAUUGGCCAAAUUGAUUUUCGGGAGCUUUCUUGAGAAUUAUUUCGCAUGAUAUAGCAAUACUCAUUUUGGGAUUAUUAUUAUUAUGAAAACCCUAGUGUUGAUUAUGUUGGUUUUCUGUGUUGAUUUAAUGUGGAAGCCUUACUUAUAUUAUGUUAAACUUGAUGAUGCAAAUGGAGGUAAUCGUGAUAUAUAUAUGGUACAGUGGAAGUAUUUUGUUAUGACUUGAUUUCAUCGCAGUAUUAUAUUACAAGCGUAGUUAUCCGGCGCUACCCGAGUUACAUUUUAUUUAAUAAAAAUAAAUGAUAUUCAUUCAUUCAAUUUGAUAAAGUACAUCGAUAUAAUGCAAAUUCGCUAAAAAAAGAUGAUGAAUCUGCGAACAAACUCACAUCAUCUAUAUUAAUAGCAUAAAACGGCAAAAUACAAAAUCCUGCACAUAUGAGUUACAUAUAUAGUAUAAUAUUAUUAUUUAGGUUAUGUAUAAUAUUUAUUUAAAAUUCAUAUAUCUCAUCUCAUCUCAUCUCAUAAAUAAAUAAUGAAAGAAAAAAUUACUCAUCAUAAUAACCCACAAUCGAUUAAAUGAUUUAUUAACAUCUAUCUAAAAUAUAAAAUAAACAAGGUCCUAGUUGUAAAAAUUGAAAUGAUAAUCAUGAGUACGUGUUUAGAAUGAAUAUAUAUAACAGACACAUGUAAGAAAACAAAUUUGUAUAUAUAAAAUUGAUUAAAUAAAUAAUUUAAUUUUAACUAAAUAAUUAUUUAAAUUUUUCUCUAUCAAUAUAUUAUUUAAAAAAUAAAUUAUCUAUUAAAAAAAAUUGGUUGCAAAAAGUUUAGGUAACCUCUGGAUGCUCACUAGGGUCAUGGCAAACCUCAAGUUUAAAGAGCACUAGAUAGCUACUUACGGAUCAUCUAGUAAAAAUGUCAUCACAUCGACAACAAUAAUUGAACUCACAAUCUUACGUGUCACUCAUCUCUAUACCAAAUGAGUCAACACCAACAAUAUUGUGCGUGAUUCAACUUCUUAUCAAUUGAGUCAACUUAAAAUUAUCUAUUAAAUUUGAUAAAAUAUGUGCUGAGUUUAAUAAAUUUAAUGAAUGAUAAAACUGAAAAACAAAUAAGUAAUUAUAAUUAAAAUGUAGGAUUAUAUUUAAAAAGAAAAAAAAUGUAUAUAAACUAAGUUUUAAUAAUAAUAAUUCCCUAAAAAAAAAAUAGAUUUGUUACCCAAUAACACUUGAAUGAGAUGAUGAGAGAUCUCUUUAAGUUUAACCAAACGACAAAGGUUAUUGGGUUCGAUUCCAGCCCUAUGAAUGCACCAAUUAAAUCUCUUGAGAGAUUUUCCAACCAUUGUGGUCCUACCCGUUUUGAGUGAUUAGUCCCUGCAAUUGUAUGCAGAAGAUAUCUGGUUUAUAUAAAAAAAAAAAAAAAAAAAAAACCUUUAAAAAAAGUGGUGAUAGCGACAAUUAUUAAGGAUGACAAAAAAAGUAUAUGCAUUAUAUGCAUGGAUAAAAUCCACCAUGAGCAUAAAUUGGAUAGAUAAACUGCUAAAAGAUACAUGUUGUGUACAAGUAUGAGUUAUAUGUCCCACAUCGGAUAAAAGGGUAAAUGUUGAACACAUUAUAAAUAAGAGGACCAUAAACCCAUAAAAUUAUCCAAAACCUAGAAGUAAAUCAUACAUCACCAAUUUUCAAUAUUACUGUUCAGGUGAAGACUUGUUUUUCAAUUUUGAAAAUUUUCUCUAGUUUUUCAAAAUAUGUUCUUGCAGGAUCAGCGGAUUUGACAAUACUGGUAUUUCUGAUCAAUUUCACUAUUAUUUUGUUCAUUGUUGAAAGAAUAUUAGUUUUAGAGUUUUGUUAGACUUCUAAUAUAUCAUGCAUUGAAUAAUUGAAGAAUUGUAUACCUAAAGGAUGAUAUAUAUAACAUGACAGAAUAAUAUCUUCCAUAGAGUAUUGUCAUCAUAUACAAAGCUCAUAAAUCAUAAGCCACCAAAGACAAUUGAAGAAGCAAUUUUCCAGAAGUAGAUAGCAAUCAUCAUCUUUACGAUUGAUAUGAGUUGAACUUUGAGACAUAUGAUAUGUAUAUAUAUUUUCUACUGAUACAAACAAGACCUAUUGCCCCACAGCUAGUUUGUGUCGAGUUCUAUUAUGACGCCCUAGGCCGGUACUUGAAAAUUGUCCAAAGCCAGUUGAAGCUGUGAACAGAAGAACAACGUCAACUGACAAAUAAUAUUUACCUAGGUAGUGAAUUUUUUUUGGACACAAUAAGUAGCACAAAAGUUUUCCAAUUUACUAAACUUUAUAUACUUUACAACUUUAUUUAACACAAUUAUUUCAAGAAUCUGAUGCAGUUCCCUUCGUUAACUUGUUUAAGAAAAAAAGAAAAAAAAAUGAUGGUUCAAUGGCUAGGCUCACCAGGCCAUAUGGGCUGAGAAUACUGCAGCCUGUGAUCCCUCCACUGUCAAGAGAAGGAAGUGUUCACUGCUCUGUGAAACCAGCCUCAUGCGGAUCCCUCCGUUCUAGUGACCAGGAGAUCUGAGCCUUCGCCCAAAUCCCAUGGCCCAACUCUCAACUUGGAGUGGGCAGGCCAGCAUAAUGUACCCUACAGCCCAACCUGUUAAGACACAAUCAUGUUCCAUCACCUUGUUGCUCCCACAUGGGUUACAAGUUGGUGUAAAUCAACUCAGCGAACAAUUGGCUGUGUUGGAAGUUUAUAAACCAUUGCAUAUUCUAUGUUUUAAACGAUGUGGGACAUUUUAUUGCUCAGAUAUAUUAUGGUCUUGAGUUGGAAACAUUCAUGUCACUUGUCACAUCGUAUGCAUGCUUAGUUUAGUUCAUAUUUAUCCACUCUUUUCAUAAAGCAUAACUAUACAAUAAUUUAUCAUGUCUAUAGUGGCAUAUAUAUAAUUGUUCAGCUUCACCACAGAAAUUAACCUUGCCUCAAACUAGUUUGUGUGGACAAGUCUCUUUAGUGGCUUUGCUGGCUUAUGAUUCUCAUACUAUAUUUUAUCCUUAGUUCAAAGUGGAGUUGAUAAUGACUGAAAAUUAUUAUCAUUAUUAUAUGUGCAUGUUUGUUAGAAAACAAACAAACAAGCAUUGACACCAUUUUAGUUUUAAAAUUAGGACUAAACUUGCAUACAUCUUUUAAAAAAUGAUAGAGGCAGUAGAGAACAGUAGGAACAGUGCCUAUAGCACUAUACCAAAGUUUUAUCCUUCAACCUAAAUAUGAUUUUGAUAUAUUGAUAUUUGUCAUUUUCCUUAAAUAGCUAGGAAUGACAAGUGCAGUGCAAACUGUGUGUGGACAAGCUUAUGGAGCCAAAAAACAUGCAGCAAUGUGCAUCACAUUGCAGAGAGAAAUCAUCUUACAUUUUGGUGCAGCAGUGACUCUCACAUUUCUCUAUUGGUUCUCUGGAGAUUUUCUAAAAGCCAUGGGGCAGACAGAGAGCAUUGCUGCACAAGGUCAAAUGUUCGCUCGCGGACUUAUUCCUCAACUCUAUGCAUUUGCAUUCAGCUGUCCAAUUCAGAGGUCUUCGCAGGCGCAGAAUAUUGUUAAUCAUCAGACAUAUAUGGCAGUUGGAGUAUUCCUUCUUCAUAUGCUUUUUAGCUGGCUAGUCGUCUAUGUUUUAGGCUAUAGCCUUCUCGGGGCAGCCCUCACUCUCAGCUUUUCUUGGUGGAUUCUUGUCUUUUUUAAUGGAUUGUACAUCCUUUUUAGCCCAACAUGCAAGGAAACUUGGAUUGGUUUCACUGUGAAAGCCUUCAUAGGAAUUUGGCCUUACUUGAAGCUCACAGUUGCUUCUGCUGCGAUGUUAUGGUAUGACUACAUCCUCAUUUUCAUUCCAGUUGUGUUAUUUGAACAUUAAAAUACAGGUAUUGUAUUUGACACUGUGUGUGUUUAUUUCAAUGUCUUACUUUUUCAAAAUAUGCACAAAAGUCAAAUGACUUUGUAUUCAACGUCAACAAAUUGUCAGAAAAACAUCUCUCUCUUCACUCUGUGAUAUAUAUGCAUACAUACACACAAAUUAGCAAACAACCAUUAUUAUUUUGAAAAACUUCACCUCUAGUUUAGACCAGUUUAUUUUGAUAAAUGGUGAAAUUUUUCUUAUUGUAGCUUGGAUAUAUGUUACAAUCAGGGACUAUUGCUUGUUUCAGGCCUGCUAUCUAAUCCCACAGUGGCACUAGAUUCUAUUUCCAUUUGGUAUGUUAACAAUUUCUCUUAGAAUAGUCUCUUAUUAUUUGCCACCAUUUCAUUUAACCAUGAUACUCCAUUGUAAUAUACUUUUAUUUUCAGCAUGAAUUACUUAGACUGGGAUAUGCAAGUUAUGUUGGGCCUUGGUGCAGCAGCAAGGUUAGUGACAAUCGACAAAAACAAUGCUUUUCAUUUAAACAACUUCCACACAAACAUAUUAAAAGUAGAUCCUAUGAUUUCAGGGUGCGAGUUAGCAGAGUUAGGAGCAGAUCAUCCAAGAGUAGCAAAAUUUUCUGUCUUCGUCGUGAAUGCAAAUAGCAUCCUCAUUAGCAUAUUUUUGUCCGCCAUGAUUUUGAUAUUCAUGGUUGGCUUGAGCGACCUUUUCACUUCUGACUCCGAAGUAAUUGAAGCUGUAUCUGACUUGACUCCAUUGCUUGCCAUUUCUGUCCUUCUAAUUGGCAUUCAAUCUACACUGUCAGAUAAAAUACUACCAUUUACUGUUUUAAAAUAAAAUAAAAUAAAAUUAUAUGCAUGAGCACCAUAUAUGGUUUUUCCAUACUUCUGAAUCUGAUCCCACCUUUUGUUUGCUGUUACUUUGAAAAUUUCAGGUAUUGCUAUUGGAAUUAGAUGGAAAGGUUUGGUGACUUAUGUAAACUUGGUUUGCUACUAUGUCAUUAGUCUUACUGUUGGAUGUGUUCUUGGCUUUAAAACUUUUUUUAGGAGUAACUGUAAGUUUAAAACAUUUCUCUCACUGAUUAUAGUUUAUUAAAUUGGUAGAGUUAGAUUAAUGAAAUGAAUGCAAUUGUGAUUUCUUUGGGAAUUUGGUGGGGAAUGAUCCUUGGAGUUUUUCUACAGACUGUUAUACUAUUAGUUCUGACUGCCAGAACAAAUUGGGGUGCAGAGGUAAUCAAAACUUUUUUUUGCCUAGACUAUAAGAUUUUAUCUGUUUCAUGUUCAACAUGAAUUGUUUGUCACUUGGGAAGGUGUGAAAUAAUUUAUAAUGUUGUUGUAGGUUGAAAAAGCUAUUGUUCGUGCUAAGAGGUCUGCUGAAGACGAGACCUUUGAUCAACUGGUUGCCGACGUAUAGAGGCAUUUCUCUAACUGUAACUUUUAUAUUCCAGGCAUGGAAGAACACUUUAACAACAUAUUAGUUAGGACUGGAGUUGAUAAUGGUGGAUACAAAUAUCGAGGAGUUGAGAAUCUGAGAUUUAUCUGUUUCCUUAUUUAUGCCGCAUCUCUUCCACGAAAGCAUGCUUUUCUCUUCAAAUUGCCACUGCCAAUACACUCUCUGUCCUUUCUCCUCUUGGUCUUGAAACCCUUUUUCAUACUAACAUCUAUCUUUCAGCAUAUUCUAAAUCUGUUUUAGAAAAUGUUGAAACUUUGAGGAAGUGAUUCUUUGGGCUGAGUAAAGAUCAGCAAAUAUUUCUAUCUGGUAUUUUGAAACACACUGAUGUAUAUAACAAGUCAAAUUUGUCUGUACUUUUACAUUUAAAAAAGGGCUUCCGAGUAGAUGAUUCAUCGACAUUGCUCUUAGAAAAGUUUUGUAGAUUGACCGGUUUCUUAGAAAUUAUCUGGAGUUGAUUCAAUCGGCUCGAAGGCCAUCAAUUUUGCUUACAUGCUGCAUUUGUGCUUCUUAAAGUUGCACAUGAGUUAUUUUGUUCCUUCUUUUUUAUUGUUAACUUGUAAAAACAGUUGUUAUAUUUAUUGUUCAACUUGUUUGAUCUAUGAAUAUUUAUAUUCUCAACUUAAAUGGGAUAGCUCAAAAACAAUUUAUCUACUUACAUAUCUGAAUUCAGUUUCCAUCAAGCAAUUUCUGAACAGUUGCUUCUAUAUAUUCUUUUGAAAAGGCAAAAUAUUUUUCUGCAUAAUAUGAACAAAAAUGGUACAACUUAACAAGUAUAGUGUCCAUGGCUGAAUUUAGAUCAUGAAGAUCCACACCAAUGUCUAUGAAUAUAUUGCUACGUUAAAACAAUACUUACCAGUUUAUUUAUUUUAUUGCAACUCACUUAACUACUCCACUAAAUGUUGGAGAAAUUUCCUAAAUAUAUAUAUUUGGAAGCUUGCAAUGAUUAAAUUGAUGUAAUGAUAUCAUUUUAACAUAUUGUAUAUCAUAUGGUUUGAUGGUUGUGUUGUAGGAAUUAUGCUUGAAGCAGACCAGCGAAUAUAUUUGGAAGUUUGCAAUGAUUGUAAUGAUAUCACUUUAACAUAUUGUAUAUGAGUCUAAUUGUCACAGACAGUGCCAUAACUCUUUGAAAAUUCUUCCAUAGUUGCUUAUAUUUUGAUAAAUUUCAGCAAAUUUUUGUUCUUAACUGCCUUCAAUUUAAUUAUUCUACACUGUUAUAUUGGCCUUGGUGCCAUUUAAUGCUCUCAAAGCCGAUAUUAAGCCAACUACUUUAAAUCUUCAUAUAUAAUGCAUAAUAUGGAGAGAAAAUAGGGUGUUGAAUGAAAUUAUAAAAUUUGGAGGUGUGUAUUUACAUUUAUAUUGUUGUUUAACAAAACAAAAUACAACUAUUUAAUUUUGGCAACAAUAAUGCCUAUACAUAAUGCAAUAGUUCAGGUGAGAUUCAGACAUUCUUAAAUGUGGGCCUAAGAAGUGACAUGUAAGUGGCACUUUUGUACCCCAAAAACACUCAGAAGAACAAUAUUGACCCACCUAAAAGUCUUAUUCACAACUAAAACGUGAGUACUGGUCCUUUUAUCUUCUUUGUCUAUGUUUAGUAAUGAUUGCCAACAAUAAAAAUCAAAGGCCAACAACAAAAUGUGGAAGGGUAGCUACAAAAUGAAAAAAUAAAUGAAAAUUCUCAUUGAUAAAUGAUCUACUUGUAAUGUUGAUGCUUCAUUCCGAACAGUGAGUGAACUGGUUAGGACUUGUUGUAGGGAACAUAAUGGAAAACCAACCAUUUCUAGUGGGGCUUGACUCACACUCACACACACACAUUGCAGAUUUAUCAUCAGAUGCUAUUGAAGAAUUCUUGGAACAUAGGCCUAUUGGGUUGAGAUGGUGGCUUAAACUUGUUGCUUGGGAGUCAAGACUCCUAUGGAUCCUUUCUGGUGCUUCUAUUGUUGUCUACCUUUGCAAUUUUAUGUUAAGCUUUGUGACCAUGAUGUUUUGUGGACAUUUAGGAUCUCUAGAGCUUGCUGGAGCAUCCAUAGCCAGUGUUGGAAUUCAAGGUCUUGCUUAUGGCAUUAUGGUAUGAUUCUCAUGCUAUCUACUUUACCCUCAGUUCAAAGUAGAAUUGUUAAUGUCUUAGAAAAUAUUUAUCAUUAUUAUAUUAUAUGUACAUCAUGUUGACAGCAUUUUACUUGAAAAAUUUGGACCAAACUUACAUAAGAGUGCCUAGAGCUCUAAGCACUGUUCAUAUUGAUUCAAUCACAAAGCAACAGUUUUUUCAAAAGACGGUAUUUUACAACUUUUCAAAAAUGUUGGUGGAAUUUGUACUAUUUUAUAGUAGAGAACAGUAAGACUUAGCAUUGUACCUAAGUAUUCACCUUAAGAUUAAUGUUAAACCUAACUAUGAUUUUUUAAUAUAUUCAUAUUUGUCAUUUUCCUUAAAUAGCUAGGAAUGGCAAGUGCAGUGCAAACUGUGUGUGGACAAGCUUAUGGAGCCAAAAAGCAUGCAGCAAUGUGCAUAACAUUGCAGAGAGCAAUCAUCUUACAUUUUGGUGCAGCAGUGAUUCUCACAUUUCUCUAUUGGUUCUCUGGAGAUUUUCUAAAAGUCAUAGGACAGACAGAGAGCAUAGCCGUGCAAGGUCAAGUGUUCGCUCGUGGACUUAUUCCGCAACUCUACGCAUUUGCAUUCAGCUGUCCAAUGCAGAGGUUUCUCCAAGCGCAGAACAUUGUUAAUCCUCUGGCAUAUAUGGCAGUUGGAGUUCUCCUUCUUCAUGCGCUUCUUAGCUGGCUAGUCGUUGUUGUUUUAGGCUAUGGCCUUCUAGGUGCAGCCCUUACUCUCAGCUUUUCUUGGUGGAUUCUUGUCUUUUUAAAUGCAUUGUACAUCAUUUUUAGUCCAAAAUGCAAGGAAACUUGGACUGGCUUCACUAUGAAGGCCUUCAUAGGAAUUUGGCCUUACUUUAAGCUUACAGUUGCUUCUGCUGUGAUGUUAUGGUAUGACUACAUGCUUAUUUUCACUCCAAUUAUGUUAUUUGAACAUCAGAAUUAGCCACCAGAUGUGUUUAUCUAUCUCUCUUAAUUUAUAUUUUCUACAACUUGCACAGAUUCCAAAAUAUACACGAAAACGAAAGGACACCGUACUCGACGACAAAAUUUUAAUGUCAACAAAUCAUAUCUCUUUUCACUAUCUGACAUAUAUGAAUGCAUACACACAAAUAAACAAUUAAGGACUAGUUUGUUUUGAUAAUAUGAAAUGUAUCUAAUUGUAGCUUGGAGAUAUGGUACAAUCAAGGACUAGUACUCAUAUCAGGGCUGCUAUCUAAUCCCACAGUGGCACUGGAUUCUAUUUCCAUUUGGUAUGUUAACAAUUUCUCUUAGAAUAAUGUUUCUUAAUAUUUGCCAACAUGUUAUCUAACCAUGAUACUCCAUCCUAAUGUACUUCCAUUUUCAGCAUGAAUUACUUAAACUGGGAUAUGCAAGUCAUGUUGGGCCUUGGUGCAGCAGCCAGGUUAGUGACAAUUGACCAAAAACAAUGUGUUCUAUUUAGACAAUUUUCACUUAUAUUAAAAGUAGGUCCUGUAAUUUCAGUGUGCGAAUUAGCAAUGAAUUAGGAGCAGCUCAUCCAAGAGUAGCAAAAUUUGCCAUCUUCGUCGUGAAUGGGAAUAGUAUCCUCAUAAGCGUAGUUCUGUCCGCCAUUAUUUUGAUAUUCCGGGAUGGUUUGAGAAACCUUUUCACUUCUGACUCUGAAGUCAUUGAAGCUGUAUCUGACUUGACUCCAUUGCUUGCCAUUUCUGUCCUUCUGAAUGGCAUUCAACCUAUACUGUCAGGUAAUAAUUAUAAUUUAUAAUCAUAAACACCAGUUUCAGUUUUUCCACAUUUCUGAAUCUGAUCCCUGCUUUUGUUUGCUGUUCUUUGAAAAAUUUCAGGCGUUGCAAUUGGAAGUGGAUGGCAAGCUUUGGUGGCUUAUGUAAACUUGGCUUGUUACUAUGUCAUUGGUCUUACUGUUGGAUGUGUUCUUGGCUUUAAAACUUCUUUAGGAGUAGCUGUAAGUUUAAACAAUUCUCUUACUGAUUUUAGUUUUAUAUUUGUACAAAGUUAGCGCCGUGUAAUGAAUUUAAUUGUGAUUUUUAUAGGGUAUCUGGUGGGGAAUGAUCCUUGGAGUUUUUAUACAGACUGUUACACUAAUAAUUCUGACUGCCAGAACAAACUGGGGUGUAGAGGUAUUCAAAACAUCUGGUCUAGACAAGAAUUUAUUUGUUUCAUGUUCUACAUGAAAUUGUUUGUUGCGUGAGGUGUGAACCAAUUUAUAAUGUUGUAGGUUGAAAAAGCUAUUGUUCGCGUCAAGAGAUCUGCUGAAGACGACACUUUGGAUCGACUGGUUGCCGACGUAUAGAGGCAUUUCUUACUGUAACUUCUCUAUUCCAGCAAUCCAGGCAUGGAUGGAAGAACACUUUAGCAGAUUUGUCUUGUUUUCAAACUUCAGGGAUAUUGAUGUUGGGUUUGUUCUGUAUAUCUUCUAGGAUUCUGAGUUUGGGCAUAAGCUCAACAACUAAGCUGAAUAGGAAGUUGGAUAAGAAUUUCAUGACAUGGCAGGUUGUUAGUAUAUGUGAGGGAAUAUCUGACAAGGAAGGAAAGUGAGGGUAUUUAACAUCUUUUCUGUUAGAAAUCUUUUGGGUUGAGCAAUAACUCUUGAAUACGGGGUUCUUCUGUUUCGAACAAAAAAAAGGGGAUUCUUUUGUAAUAUCAUUUCCUGUCCUCUGUUAAUUUGGUUUCCUAAAAAAUAUCAGUUCAUACAUUUUUAUGAUUUUAAGUAAAACAAAUCAGUUUUCAGACCCAGCAUUAGUAUUUCAACCAGUGGAAGGAUUAUGGAAAGGUGGAUUUCAAAACUCUCAUUUGAUGAUGGCGGAACCAAUUAGGUGGUGGAAAAUAUGACUCUAAAUAAUGUUUGACUUCAUUAACUAGUAACUAUAAGAUCAAAGAAAAGGAUCUCAAAAUAUAAAUAGAUAUAAUGUAAAGAUUACAUUAAAAAGAGUACAAUACUGCAUUGCUCUCCAGAAAAAACAAAAUUUCAGGUUCCGCAGCUUAAAAUGAUAACCAGGGAAAACACCAAAGUAGCCAACCAUAUUUGGCAGAAAAUAUAACCAAAUGUACUGUCCAAAUACCCAAUGAUGCAUUUAUGCUCUAUUCAUGACAUUACUCAACCUCUAGGAAUCACAAUACAUUAAAGGUACAAAGAUUGAACCGUCUACUGUUCAAAACAACAUUGAGGAAAGACACGCCACUCAUUAGGGGGCAGCAUAAGGCUUCCAAAAGAUCAAAUACGAGAUAUCAGAAGUGGAAUGACUGAACCCUCUUCCAACUCUGGCUGGAAUAUAUCUAGUUCCCCAUAUCUUUCUAGGACACGCAUCCUGCAGUCCUCAGCAGCCAUGGUUCCAGUAGAAUAUGCACCAUGAACAGACCCUGUAUAUAAUACACUCGUUGCUUCCCCUGCAAAGAAUAAGUUAUCUACAGGAACCCGCAACCUCUCAUACAGACCAUGCGGUUUCCCAACUGCGUCAAAACUAUAAGAACCUAGUGAAUUAAUAUCUGUACCCCACCGAGACACGAGAUACUGAAUCUGCAUAAAGGAAACAGACUCAAUUCAGCCAUAUAGCUAUCAUCAGAGAAUCUAUGCACAAGAACCUAAAUGGAUUAAAUUUUAAAGAUUCUGUACCCUACAAAACAUGGUUCAAGAGAUUUCACUCCUCUAAACUAGACAGUACACAUUAGAAAGUAAAAUACAAGUGAUAAUUUUUCUAAUCAAUUAGUUUCAAUUCCACACUAUAUCUUCUAAAAUGCACCCUUCAGUCCCUAUCACUUUAGAGGAACCAAAUCCACUUUGAACCUCUCACUUUUAUUCCAUAGGAAAAAACGAGUUAAAUAAAAUUAAAACUAUUAUAAUUACCGGUGAAGAAGCAUCAGGAAGGAUCUUCUUGAGUUGUGUGAAAGCAAAGUCGGCAGCUGCUUCAUCAGACAUUUUCUCAAUGUCUUUGGCCAGCCGCCCAGCAGGCAUGUAAACAAGAACAGGAUGACCUGCAGCUUUGUGAAGAUUAAGAAAGUAGCUGCAUCCAUAAGAUGUCUCAGCAACUACUCCCAGGAACUCCACAUUGGGCCAAAAUACAUUUUUGAAGUGUAAAAUUAUUUUAUUCUCAACUCCAACCCCGAUAUCGGCAAUGGCAGCUUCUUUCCAAUCUGGAAGUUUUGGCUCAAAUUUUAUUACAUUUGCUUUCAGUACCCCAAGAGGUACAGCAAUGAUAGCAGCAUCAGCAACAAAUGUUUUCCCAUUUUCAGUAGUCACCUUCACUCCAUUAUAUCCCCUAACUAUCUUUGUCGCCCUGAAAAUAGGCAUCAUCAAUGCCAGUUAGUUUGGCAAACCAACAAAACAGGACAAAGACUUUCAAAACAAAACUUCAAACAAAUAUAUACCUGUGCCCCAACCGAAUGUCAAGACCCUUGGCUAGGGUAUGUAUAACAGGUAGGUAGCCCCUGACCAUAAGACCAUGACCACCAGGGAGCAAUUCUUCCUGUAACCAGAUAUAUAGAGAAGGGUGAGUUACACAUCAAAAUGUUAAUGCACGUAAUGAUUACAAGUUACUCGCAACAUAAUGUGAGUAUAUGAAACCAUACGGAGUCACUUAUUAAUCUCAUUUUUAUAUCCCUUACAUCUAAUAUUAUAAUAUCCUCAAUAAAAGCCGGUACAAAUGGCAUAUUAUUAACAUUUAACCUAAAACUCGCACCAAUGGUGUAUAAAUAAGAACUUGCCACCUAAUAAUUGUUUCCUUCAAUAAUGUGUCUAAUAAAAAAGAUCAACAAGGACAAAGAACUGAAAUGGAAAAACCAAACAUGAAUCCUCAGUCCACCGCCAUGCAAUUCAAAUUUCAAUGACAUAAACUUGAAAUAGAUUUUCAAAAAAAAAAAAAAAAACUUGAAAUAGACAAAUACAAAUAAUAGAACCCAAACAUCUUGAACACGGUUUCUUGCAAUUACCUGGUCCCAACAUUUCAGUGAUAUAGAAUCAGAAUCUGCAGCAAACCAGCCCUCCAUUCUGCAUAAAUACCACUGAAGCACCUUGUGUGAAAGCCCCUCCAACCUGCAUCCAAUAAUGAAAAUCAAAUUAUAUAUACACUACAUGAGCUUUGAUAAAAUGAAUGGUGGUCAAAAAAUUUGAGUUUUAUGCCAAUAAUGACCUCAGUUCUGGCUUUCUUUCAAAAACAAUUGAAAGUGCACGUAGAAUGGACAUGUCUUCACUGAAUUCCUGUCGUACAUUAUCUGUCUGCAUUAAUGAAGUGUCAAUUGUUAGAUGAGAUGCUCAUUGUAAACAAGUUGAAUCAAACAUUUGCGAUUUCAAUUAAAAAAAAUGUAUUCCUGAAAAUUUGAAUUCUAAGAAAUACAACACAUCAGGUACACCUAAUACCUAGAAAUAAACAAAUGACAUACCUCUUGCAAAAUCAUUUCAAAUGUUUUACCAACUUCUGUAACCAGCUCUUGUGGAACUUGAUUCCCCUCCAUAUCGAAGAGUGCAUAGCUGUAAAAAGUUGACAAGUUUGAAUUGAAGAAUCCCAUAUCCAAUAAUAUACCAUUCAAGUUGACCAGAGGAAAGAUUGAAGCAUGCAAUGUAGUCGUUAAUUACUUACAAAAGCAUUGAAGAAAUUGAUAACUACUACCAUAUAAUAACAAAAAAUGCAUUUACCUUUCCAAAUCAUGAUCGUAUAGGACAGAGUUAUCCUCACAAGUCCGGUAAAGAGGUAGUCCCAGCCUCCCAAUCAAUGGAGCCAGAGGAUUCUCAUUGCAAACUCCAUGCAACCUGAAUCAUAAUCAUCCAUUUUCAAUGCUAAAAUAAAAAAGAAAGAAAUCUUGCGUUUUUGUCAACAUGAAAAAAUCAGAACAAAAAGAGUAUAAUCUUUACCAUGAUGCACCUAGGUCAACAGGAAAACCAAAUGAGUAAUCAGUGUGAAUUCUGCCACCAAUUCUAUCCCGUGAUUCUAAAAGAACGACCUGAAAAGUAGUGAACUUCAGUACAACUCUCAAUCCAAAUAAAGGAGCUGAUAGAUACAAAAGUAUGUAUGUUGAAAUGAGAAUAAGAGGAAAAAUAAUAAUAAUUAAAGGAGAUGGUGUCUCUCUUCAUUAGCUAAAUAUAUGUGUGUUCAUAUGUCACCAUGUGGAAAUGAUAAUUUGUCCCAAAGGUGUGGUUUGGUUUGACUAAAGUACAAAGCCAGUCAAAUCCAAUUUUAAACUCUAACAAAACAACCAAGUGAAGUUGUAUAAUCCAAGAUAGCAUAAAAUGGUUUUAAACAAGCUACUGUUACUUUAAGAUAACUUAUUGAGCCAAAAUACAACAAUCGCAAUCAUAAAUGAGUUGCAAAUAUUUCCAAUGAAAUAGAUUGCAAUUAGCAUUAAACUUAAGUUAUAUGUACAGGACAUUUAAUUCUUAAUCAUCUUCAAUUAGUAGACAUAACUAACAACCCACAGCAAAUAACAGACACAGAUAAUUGUAGUCAUAUAGCCACAAGCCAAAAUCGAAGACAAACAUUGUGUAUUGAUGUGGCAUGUAAUCUAUAAAACACUGACACUUCAGAUUGAAGGUGUGUCUGGCAUCCAAGGGACACAUGUUGCACCUUAAAUAGUUUCAACAACAACUAGCCAGUCUUAUCCCACUAAGUGGGAUCGGCUACAUGGAUCAAAUUACGCCAUAAACUAUAUUUCUAUCCAACUCAUUAAUCUUUAGAUCUUUCUUAAUAGUUUUUCUAGGUCUUCCUCUACCACUAGUGAUAUGACCAUCCAUCAUCUUAUCUACUCUCCUUAGUGUCAGUGUCAUUGCAUGUAACUCUUGGCAAACUGAAUAGUAAGUAAAAUAAAGUAAACCGCUAUAUCAUUUGCUUGAAUACCUGGAAUGAAGCAUCAUGAAGUGCACGGGCAGCAGCAAUCCCAGCCAUGCCACCGCCUAUGACAAUAACAGACGGCGACCUUCGAGGCUGCUGAUCAACAUUGACAUAACACAAACCUACAUAGGCAGUACAACAACAACAACAAAAAUCAAAGUCAAUAACAAACAUAAACACACUAAUAGAACCAAAACAUGUCAAAUAAACACAAUUAUCAGACACAAAAACACAUCAAAUCUCUAUUAGAAACAAACCAAUAAAACUCUUUAAUUAUUCAUCAUUUCAGAUUCUGAUGAUGACAACGACCCAAAAGAUUUUUCACUUUUUUCUCUCUCUCACUUUUCAAACCCUAUUCACGUAUUUUUUACCAAUAUAUAAAAAUAACAACAUCAUAAAAAUUAGAAAUUUAAUCAAUGAAUAUAUAAAAAAUACCCUGAUCACAAAAAUUUAGAAAUUUAAUCAAUUAGGAGUAAAAGCAGCGAAAUUAAAGCCCACAAACCUAAAACCAGAUCUAUUAUAAUCUAAUCAAAUAAUUAAUUACCACAUUCAGAACAAAAAAAAAAGCAUCAACAUUUAUAAACCAAAAUAAAAAAUAAAAAGAGGGUAGUUAAAAAAUGAACCUUUUCGUGAAUUGGGAUUAGUCUUAAUUCGUGACUCCAUAGUUGGAAUUAGAAUGAAAAUUAAUACUACUUAGGCUAUUGGAAUUGGAUAAUGAAGGUUUAAAAUGAAGAUUAAAGAUUAAUAAACAAGUAAUGAAGUGAAAGGAAUUAUGGUUGGAGAAUAAACGCAGUUUUCCAAACCAGCUCAUGCAGCUAAAUUUGUUGAAAUUCAAAUCAACGAAAACGAAAUUAGGGUUUUUUUCUCUUCUCAGCUCGAUCGGAUCAUGAAGCGAAUUUCGCUGUUGUCUAUGGAGAUCGAUCCGAACGAGGAGAAGAGAAAAUUGGUUUUGGUUUGGUCGGUGUUUGGUUAUUGGUUUUGAGAGAAGAAAGAAAAUAAGAGGAAAGUGAAAUUCGUCAAUAAUUGGUGCGAAACGAAAAAGGAGAUUCAGAUGCUGCUGUUGGUGAUGAUGCUAUGGUUAUAUAUAGACUGUGUUAUGGUGGUUGAUAACAAACAAAACCUUGUUGAGGACAAUAAAGGGACGCGUCCUAUGUUACAGGGGUGUUUUCGGAGUUUUCUAUUAUUUCUUCAAACGACACAUGGCAUGACAAUUAUAAUAUUUUGCGAUCGGAUUAAUCUUUUGAAUCGGAUAAAACUAUAAUGAGCGAAAAAUCUCUUCUCAAAAGAUUUGACACUAUUACAUUUUCUUCACCGAAUUCGAACUUAUAAUUAUUUUUAGUGAUUGGAAUUCGAACCACUGACCUUGAGUAUACAAUGUAUUGUUCAUAUCAACUGAAUUAAGUUUACGAGGACGAACUUAUAAUCUUUAGUUAUACUAAGGGUAUGAUUGAUUUGCUAAUUUUUUUUUUAUUAAAUGAUAUUUUGCAUGUUGUUUGAUUUAUAAAUUGGUUAAGAGAUCGAACAAAUAUAUAACACAACUAACUCGAUAAAAACAUAAUUUCUUAUCGUUCACUAAAAUUAUGAGGCAACUUUUUAUUGACAAUACAUACGUCAUAAAUAUCAAAAUUCUAUUUUUAUUUUUCAACAUAUAAAUAUUAUCUCUCUUAAGAGCAUUUACAAUAGAGACUCUCAUCUUUGAGGUCUUAAAUGGGUCCCAUAUUGACACGUAACUUUUUAAUAAUUUUUUAAUAAUAGUACUUAAUAGGUACUCAACCACUCCAAUGGAGACCCUAUAACAAAAGGUCUAAUUGGAUCCCACCAAUAUUAUUUAUUCAAUACACUAUCUAUUUUAAUACACUUUUUAAUUAUUAUUUUAAUAAAAAGGUGGUGUGGGUCCAUUUAAGAAUGAAAUCUUAAUUUAGAAUUUGCAUCUUUUAAGACCCUCAGUUUUUUUUUCUCACAAUGGGGGUACCUAUUAGGUACCAAGUCUUAAAUGUUUAAAAGAUAUAAUUAUAUGUAACAGACAUCAAGAGGCAUCAUCGACAUCCCAACUAGGUUGGCACUCCGAGAGACCUCCAUCCUAUACCGCCAAACUCAAAAGAUAUAAUUAAAAAAGGGGGAAAAUAUUUACAAAAGGAGUGGGGACUAGACCAAAACCCUAAAAUGAACAGAAAAGAAAAGAAACAGAGGAAACAACAAAACAGUCCAAAGAACAGAUCAAGGAAAUCUGUAAUUAGGAAAUCCACAUCUAUCUCGAAAGAAAUCAAGCCUCAAUUCACUUGGUAGAAUGUCAAGCCAAACCACACUAAUAGUAGCAAGUAAGUCAUUUCCCUUAGGUAAUAAGGGUCCUCUAUUAUUAAUGCAAAACAGCUCUAACAUUCCAAUAGAGGAAAUUCAUUGACUAGUCGAAUGAUUUAGUAGGUUGCUUUGCUAAGACUUGUUGUACCUUGAGUUUCUGUUUCUGUUUUCUUGUUAGAACAGGCAUGAAGUCUUCAGCUGCUGAUCUUUCAUCAUAUUCUCGGACUCUUGCCCACAAAUCUAAACCAUGCUCGAUAUUCUUGCUAGGAUGAACCUCUUGCUUUUGCAAAAUAACCACAUCUUGUUCCUUUUCCGUGGGCAUACUUCCACUAACAACACUGGGUGGUUCGACAACCACAUGUGAUUUCAAGGCGUGUGAUCCAGCAUGCACGUCAUCGUGCUCAACAACAGUAUCCAUCUGAACCUGCACCGAUUCUACAAACCCUUCAUGCACCUCUUGGUGCUCAACAACAUGUGAUGAAUGUGGUGCACUCUCAAUGGAACCUUUGGGACUCUCCUCCAGCUCCCUCGGGCUCGAAAGAUUGUAAUCCACCUCAUCUGAAAGCAAACUAGAGACAUCAUCCAUUGUGGGGUUCUCCAACACCUCCCUUGAUGUUAGAUGUAAUUGCUCUGCUCUCUCAGAAUGCACGUCAACGUGCGCAACAGGAGAAACAACUUCUAACACUGGCAUAGUGUGUGGCAAGGAUAGUCCAUUUAGUACUUACUCCCUCAAACUCAAAAUAACGUCUCUUUAGCAUUUUUUUUCUCUGAAUCAAAAUAAUUAUGACUUAAUUACCUUUUUGGUCCUCUGACUAUUUAAUUGGUAUCGGAUUGGUCCUCUAACUAAAAAUUGAUUUAUUUCGGUCCUCUAAGUUUCUCACUGUUACUACAUUUAAUCCUUUCUGUUAGUUUUAUUCAAAUAAACGUUAGGGUUUCUGUUAUGUGGGCAUCUGAUCUCCUGUUUCACACAUACAUAUGAAUACCUUAACAAGGCAUAGGACCAAAACGUUUAGAGGAGCCACAUAACACAAACCCUAACGUUUAUUUGAAUAAAACUAACAGAAAGUACUAAAUGUAAUAACAAUGAGAAACUUAGAGGACCGAAAUAAAUCAAUUUUUAGUUAGAGGACCAAUCCGAUACCAAUUAAAUAAUUAGAGGACUAAAAAUGUAAUUUAGCCAAUAAUUAUCAUUUUACAAUAUCAAUGUAUUUAUUUUUUUUCCACUAUUAUAUCAUUUAUUUAUUGAAUUUAAUCCAACUUAACUACUCCACUAACUAUAUGUAAUAAAGGUAUCUUAGUAAAUUACAUUAAUUACCAUUAAAAACAACAUAAUUAAUCAUUUUAAAAAAAUUUGUGCACAAACCUUAAACGACUAUUAUGUUAAAAUAGAGAGAAUAUUAUUUUACAAAUUAGACUAGACCUGUCUUAAAAAAAUAUUUAUCAUCUCAUUUAAAUUAUUUAUUUAAGUUGAGAAGGAUGGAAGUGAGGGGAAAUCUUUCUGGAGAUAUUCUAUUGUGAUUUAUUCCACAAAUGUCGCACUGUCAUUGUAUAUUCGAAUAUCCAUGCGCCAAUAUAUAACAUUAGUUAAAGGAAAGAGUUGAUUUUAUAUGAUAAAAAAAGAGUUUUUUUUUUUGUCAAAAAAAAAAAAAGAAGAAGUUAGCUAAAAUAUUGACAUAUUUUAUGAGUUAAAUAUGAUUUUACUCUUUCUAAACAUAUCAACUCUUAUUUUUAGUCCUCUAUAAAUAUCCUCCAAAUUUACUUACGACAUAUCAUUCUUAAGAAUUUAAAAUACAUUUAACAUUUUUGAAGAAAAAAAUGUUAAAUGUAUUUUUUUAAGAGAAACUUCACAUUUUUUUAACAUAAUAAUCUAAUUAUUUAAUCUUUAAUUUGAAACCCAAAAUAAAUCUCCCUACAAGAAUUGCCUAGUUUUUAUUUUAGAGAAACUUCACCUUUUUUUCAAAGUUCUCUUUUUUCCUUCACUAAUUGAGGAAGGUGGUUUUAUGUCUUUCUUUAACCUAUAAAUACCACUAAGUUCUUGUACUAUAUCAAUUUAAAUGAAUGAAUAUCGUUUUGUUUUUGUUAAAAAAAAAAAAAAACUUUAAUAUGAAGUUAUAGAUAAAUUAAUGAUUUUGUAAAAAAAAGGACAAAUUAAUGAUAUUUUAAUAUAUAAUCAUUUAAAAAAUUUACUCGAAAUAUAAAACACGAGCUUUUGUAAAAAUGUAGGGACUAAAAUUAUUGAUGAAAAAUUAAAGAGACCAAUAUUUAAAGGAAACUUUUUGAGGAUUAAAAAUGAAAGUUGUUUUUUUGUCAACAAAAAAAAAAUGUGGAAGUUGUUUUAUGAAGUAAAAAAAAUAUGGAAAUUGUUUUAUGAGGUAAUAGUCAUUUUGAUCCUUUCCUUAAAAAAAGUCAUUUUGGUCCUUUUUUUUAAGAAGCUAAAUUAGCCCACCAAAUUAGUAUUGGAGAGAAUCGAAGCUAAGACCUUGAGGAGGAGCACACUCCCAUGUCCCAAGCUAACCCACAUUUUUAUUUAUUUUUGGUGAAAUAAUUUAGUGGCUAAAAAUUCACCUCUCAAAAUGAAAAUCAUAGAUUUUUAAUAUAUGAUUACAAAUAUUUUUUACACUUCGAUAAAGGAAAGAGUUAAUCGAAAAAAAGAGGUUGGAGAGGGAGAGUCGGGACUUGCAAGAAAAGUGGAGUUGGAGAAGUUUAAGUUGAGCACAUGGUGUGGCUGGCUAGGAGGAGAGGGAAAAAAGAAGGUUAGCCAUAACAAUUGAGAGGUUUCUUACGUUAAUAUGAUUAAAGGGAAAGGGAAGAAGUAUGAGGGAGUCACAGCUGAUGUGAAAUUAGGUGUUGAGGUGUUAUGGAACAAUGUGGUUCUUUUUUGCUCUGGGAAAGUAAACAUGUUAUUUGUUAAUAAUGUUCCUAUUACAAAUGCCCUUGUUCAUGAUCUCAAGAAUGACUGGGAGACUUUGACAGCACAAGUUCCACUAAUGACAUUACAGCGGACACACAUAAACAAUCCCAUUUAACAUGCGGAAUUGCGGACUACUAGCCUCAAGGUUCAUAUUGAGAGUAGCUGAUGCGGACCAUUUGAAACAAUUCUAAACAUACAUUCAAGAUCAUAUUAUGUAUACACUUUAGAGGUCUUCUAGGGUUGUAACGUGACUUAGGUUAAAGAGAUAUAUAUUUGAGAAAGUAGGUUAACAAAACAACUUGAAGUUAGAUUAGCCAUACAAAUUGCAAUUGUAUCAAAAUAUGAUGAGUACGAGUAGAACUACUUUUUUUUUUUUUUUUUUUUCUUUUUGAAAAGAUCAAUUUUUGUGCUUUUUGAUUAUUUUAUUUUUUUUUGUGUGUGUAGACCCUUAUAUUUUAUGGUUUAUUUACAUUCUUUUGUAAUAAGCAAGUUCUACUGAUACACCAUCCCAAAUUUAGAAUGUUGCUAAUUGUAAAGAGCAACCCAAACUUUAUUUCAAAUCAUGCCAAAUUCUUUAAAUACUAUUUACCUAAAUUCAAGAAAAAUCAAAUAGAUGACAUUAAGAUUUAAAACUUGUGAGGAGAAACUAUCACUGCAAUAACUUAUCAAAGAGCGAUUAAACCACCACUUUUCUCCAAACUUAACCACCUAAUUUUGUUUCUUUGUUUAUCUCUCUUUUUUCCUUACUAAUUUCUCUCUUUUCCGCUCUUACACCUAUUAAGGAAUAAAUAUUUCACUCUACUCUUCCAUAAUGCCUACCACAUUUGCAAUUAUGAGUUGUAGUCAUAUCCUCCAAUUCUAUCACAACACCUUCCCCGCAACAUGUCACCAUUCAUCAAUAUACACGACAUACUAAAACAUUUAUCAAUAACAUCAUCGACAAACAACACUAGGCUCAUACUGCGGCUUGAGAUCUUUUAAAUGAUCUAACUCAUCAACAAAUAUCAUCAAACAUUCUUUAAAAAAAAAACAAAUAUCAUUAGACAUUACUUGAAUCUUCUAAUGCAAUUCAACCUCAGCUAGUUAUUUAUACAACUUAGUGUUCCACAUUUAAUACCUCUAGAAUUUUAUAUAGUUUUGAACCUUAAUGAUGAUAAUGUGUUCAUGUAUGUUAUGUCUUAUUGAAGAUAGCCUUAAACUCUUAUGACAUACAAGUCACAGUAUGGCAAACCAAAAUUCUAAGAAGUAUAUUUUUUUUUUGUUACAAUUCUAAGAAGUAUUUAAUUUUAGUGUUCGACAUGAUCCGAGAGAGAACUAUAUACAAAAAAUGCGUCACUAGAAUUGCUCAUGCCUCAGGCAAGGAAAAUUAAAUAUGAAAACUUCCUUUAACAAGAGGACUCAAUCAUAAAUCCCCUCUUACUUUAUCAUAAAUAUUAUAGAAAUUCAAACUUCUCAAAGUCAAAUAGUUUUUAUCUCUCAAAAAAUAGUCAACUAUUAUAUGUACUAGUUUUUUGGCAAAAUGUCAAAUUGAUAUAUUCUCCAAGAUAGUCUAUGCAUGCAUCCAGUCCACCACAUGGUUGAUGAUGCAAAAGGCAAGCUUAGUUGAUUUCUACAACAGAUAAUGGUUAAUUCAUAUUUGCUUCAAGAUAAAAAGUCAAACUUCUUAAAUCACAAAAUAAUAAUCACACUCUCUCAUAGCAUGUUUCAUACUUUGCAUAGAAUGUCUAAAUAAGUUUUAUUUUAUCUUUUCAAUAUAAUAUUAUAUAUUUUAUUUCAAUUGUGUAUACUUAUGAAGCCUCCAUACUCUAAAUAUGGAGUCGUAUCCGUAUCAGAUAUCGAUACUUUGCGGAUAUUCGCGGAUAUGUAUCCACGAAGUAUCGGAAUUAAUUAUUUUAAUUUAUAAUAUAUAUUUUAUCGGAUAUUUAUAAGAUACUCGACAAAUACACACAUAUACUUAUAAGAUACUUCACAUAUAUAUACACUCGAAAAAAAUGAAGGGUAAAAAAGUGAGAUUGUGUCGUGAAAAUUAAAUGGAGAUGUAUAAGAUUCAACAUUAAUCAAACUUUGUUUUGAAUUCUUUUAUCGAUGCAUUUGUUGAUAUCUAAAUAUAUGAAUGAAAAUAGAAUAUAAUUUGUUUUUUUUUUUUUUUUAAAUUGUGACCUUUACGAUUAAAUAGUAAUGAAGCGUAAUCAAUACUUUUUUUCAAGUAUAUUCAUACAUAUAAGUUUUAGUAUAAAAAUCUUGUUAACGUAUUUUAGCCGUAUCGUAUCUUAAAUUUAUAAAUUUUGUGUAUCCGCAUAUCUGUAUCAUAUUGGACUAGCUAGGUGUAUACUACUUAUCUUUGUUAGAUGUUAUUUUUUUGGAAUUUUUUUCACAUUAUGCUUUCAAUAAUGCAAAUUAAAAGGUAACCGAGAAAAGGAGAGAAGAGAGAGGAAUUGAGGUAAGUAAAGAAGAGAAAUUCUCAUCACAAAUUAUGCAAGUCACAAAGUCUCUCUAUUGUGGCUUAGUUAACCUUUGCCUCAAGUAACGCCUUGAAUUUCCUAAUCGUAAUUAGCUUUAGGACCCCUUGAGGUACAGUUGUUUCCAACAGCUUUUUAAUUAAACACAUACCAAAAUAAGCUGUUUUUAAUAAUGUAAAUUUUACUAUGUCAUUUGUUAAUUUAGUUGGAAAGCUGCAAUUGUAUUAUGUGAUGUGAGGACCUUGUUUAAUUUGUAGUAUACUUAUCUGACAUUAUAAAUGUUACUAGCCAAAAAAUUAUUACAUUAUUAAUAUGUUUUGAUGCUUAGGUAUAAAAAUUUGAGCCAAAGGCCCAGAAAAAAAAAUAGAAGCCAGAGAGAGAAAGGAACUAAUAAUUAAUAAACCUUGUUACUCUAUAGAAUAUCAUAGAUUAUGCCAUAAAAUAAAACAGUACUACCUAUUAUAGUAAUAUAAAUUUCAGCACAAAUACAAACAUGAUAGAAGCUUACAUAGAUUAAUUUUUAUAUAAAUACCCCCAUUUCUUAUUCUACAAAUGCAGCACAACUCAGGUGCUGCUAGCCAAUAUCUAUAACUCUUCAUUUCUCACCUCAUGUGUUCUUCUGGGUGCUAAAUCAACUAUGCUGCAGGUGCUAUAUCAAUAUCACCAUCAUCGUCGUCUCCUUCACUCUUCCUCUGAGUGCAACAGUUGUUGAAUUGAGUUGCAGCCAAGUCACUUCCCAUGUUUCUCAUGAGAAGAUUUGAUUCCAUGGAACUUAGGACCACCAUUGUAGCACAAAUAUGUUCUAAAGAAUAAAGAGUGUUAAAUUUGGCUGUAAUGUGAAGUAAGUAUGUUGACUCAAGAUGAAGUCAUGAGUCUUCAAAACCACCUUAUUUAUAGACUAAAACGUUUACUCAAAUUUACUGCAGUAAAAAAAAUGGACUUGUAUUCUGUGCAGUUGAGGAGUUUAUGUAAUUGAACAGUUGUUUAAUUUCAACUGUCUGAUGAAGAUAUGAUUGUACAAAUUUAAACUCCAACAAAUUGGCUUUAAAAUGUAGUUGAAACAUCAUUUAUUCAAUGUGAAGUUUAUUCGAAGACAAACCAACGUAGUUGUUCGUAUUUUAAAUAGGACAGCUCUAUCUAUGUUUAAUCUCCAAAAAAAAUUAUAAUGUCACAUAUUGUAUUUUCUUAUAUUAUUUAUGUAUAGUUGAGACAUUCAAUCAUUUUUUUUUUUUAAUAAUCUAGUGACGAAAAUUCCACAAAUUAUUUAUGCAGAAUUGCAAAUUAUCUAAACAUAUUAAAUGUCAUUGCAACUAUCAUUCUAAUAUAAAUGUUCAAUUUUAUUUUAUUGUUGUAAUCAAAUUUGUAUAAGCAGUACUACUAUUGUAGUAAAUGUAUAAUUAUUAUUCUAAUACCUUAUAUGGGGCAGGUUUAACAUAUUUAAGAUUGUCAGAAAGGUAUAUUUGCUUUAUUUGCUUUCUCUACCACAAUUAAGGCACUUUAAUUUUAGUUUUGUUUUCUUGUUAGAGCUAAAACAUUUUUAAGUGUGCAAAGGAGGAAAUGGCUGAGCUGGUGAGGUUUCUACCAUACAAUUUGACAUGAUGGACAGAGAUGGUCCAUAACUUGAGCAAAGCUCAUGGCUUCUUGCUGCACACCACAUUCAACAUGUGGUGUUAUGAGUUUGCACACACGCUUGAGCUUUAUAGUCACAUGCACAUUUUAUAUGACAUGGAUAAUGAUAUAUAGCAAAUAUGCACUCAAAAAGUGAAAUUAACGUAAAUGCCAAAGGGUUUUGUUUUGGCCAAAUGUGGCCUCUUGUAUAGAGGAAAAGAGUUACAACUGUGUAAUGCAUGUGCUUGUUUCAUUUCCUUAAUGACUUUUCAAAUUUCAAAUAGCUAUAUGAAAUUCCAUAUCAUAUAGUUCAAGUUUCACCUUUAAAAAAACUUAAGUUUCUAGUUUUGUGGACUCUAAUGACCUCUCCUACAGAGAUUAAUCUUAUCUUAUCUUACUUAAUAUAAAUCUAAGGUAGUCUGAUAGCUAGGAGGAAAUCCCUAACCCUAAUGACAACCCUAAUACCUUAUUUCCCUCCAAAAUCAUGACAUAAAUGCAGUUUAAUUACUCUGACCCACCAACUAAUUUCACACGUUUUUUUGAGUUUUGAACCACUCAAUACACGCUUCUCAAUGCAUAGAAGAAAGUUAUUUGGAGACUUUCUAGGAUUCAGCUUGCCACUCACACUCAAGAUCAUCUAAAACGUCUAUUUUUUUCUUCCUGGUCGGUCCAUUUCUUCUUUCUUGACAGAUCUCCUCCAUUCCUCUUCUUAUUUUCUAAAAGGAUAUUUUUGCAUCUUUUCAACCGUCCACUCUGAUUUUUCUCCAUUACUCAAACCCCGUACUCACAUCAGACGAAGACGGAGAAGAUCUUUACAGUGGUGACUUUUCAUAAUCAACUCAAAUAAAAAAUUUAUUCGUCGACAAUUAUUAAAUUUGUUAUUUCUCAAUUUCAUAUUCGAUCUGUUCUUUCUAAUUUCAAUUUCGAUUAAAGAUUUCAUUGACGAUUUUGACUGAUGAUUCCUUUGACGAUUUUGAUUUUUGUUUCGUUUAUACUUUAGGGUUUGGAUAGCAUCUCGCACGAUGUUGACAAUGGAUGGAAGAUCAAUGCUGGUAGUUAUAAUUGUGAGCUUUUUAUUCAUUUUUGUAGAAUUAUAUAAUUAUUAUUAUUAUUGUUAUUCCAUUAUGUGUUGAUUCAUCUUCUUUUUGCUUUCUCUCUUAUUUGGUAUCUCGAAAUUAUCCUCUGCAUAAAGAUUGAAUGAUCUACGACAACGAUGAUAUGAGCGUGUUCGAUGUCGGCGUAGAAACAAAAAUUGGGGGUUCAACUGCGGUGUAGAUGCAUAAAUUAGAUAUUGAUGAGAAAAGCUAUUUCCAAAUGUUGUUGGGGUUAUGUAGAUGAUAACAAAUUAUUCAAAUUUAACAAUAGUAUUGUAUUGACUUAUUUGCGUAACAACUAACAAUUGAGUUUUGCGUUGUAAUUUGAUUUGUAAAUCACAUGAUUUUAAUGACAAUGUUUUUCCUUAACCGGCUGCA